rnacentral:rRNA from 1 species
AACGAACGCUGGCGGCAGGCUUAACACAUGCAAGUCGAACGCUCGUAGCAAUACGGGAGUGGCGGACGGGUGAGUAACGCGUGGGAACGUGCCCUGAGGUACGGAAUAACUGAGGGAAACUUCAGCUAAUACCGUAUGAGCCCCGAGAGGGGGAAAGAUUUAUCGCCUUGGGAGCGGCCCGCGUCGGAUUAGCUAGUUGGUGGGGUAACGGCCUACCAAGGCUUCGAUCCGUAGCUGGUCUGAGAGGACGAUCAGCCACACUGGGACUGAGACACGGCCCAGACUCCUACGGGAGGCAGCAGUGGGGAAUCUUGCGCAAUGGGGGCAACCCUGACGCAGCCAUGCCGCGUGAACGAUGAAGGCCUUAGGGGUUGUAAAGUUCUUUUACCCGUGACGAUGAUGACGGUAACGGGGGAAUAAGCUCCGGCUAACUUCGUGCCAGCAGCCGCGGUAAU